UUUUUUUUGUUUUUUUUUAGUAGAGAUGGGGUUUCACCAUGUUGGCCAGGCUGGUCUUGAACUCCUGACCUCAGAUGAUCCCCCGCCUUGGCCUCCCAAAGUGCUGGGAUUACAGGCAUGAGCCACCGUGCCCAGCAGAAAGAAUCACUUCUUAAUGAUCACCCGGCACAUUAAUGCCUCAAGGACAGACUUCCUUCAAAAUCUAUGGCUCAGGUAGACAAUGUCACAUCUCUUUAGCCUGAGUUCUUCUUGCCUAGUGUCUUCCUAUAAACACCAUCUACCCUACAGCCACACCUAGCUGAAGGCUGCUGGGCUUUGCAGACCCCUCGGUUUGGGAGUAAAGGAAUAUAGAAGCAGAGGAGGUCCCUGGUGAGCAUCUUGGUUUACUUCCCCAGGCUCCCCCUCGGCCAUGGGCAGGGCAGGGACAGUGAGGGCAUCCAGAGAGAAUGGCAGGCCACAACUUGCUGGGCUGCUUCUUUGCAAGAAAAUACCAUAGCUUCAUUCCAACACUCAGUCAGCCAUGAGAUAAACAGCAUAGUUUAUAAGCAUAUAAAUAGUAUCUUAUAUAAACUGCACUAUUUUUUAGAAACUACCUAAAAAACAGUUGAUUUAGUGGUAUUCAGAGUCCCUAUAAAUGGACAAAUUAAGUAACUUAGCUAGGCAUGCAUACAGCUAUCCAACACCGUGUAUACUCAUAUAUAUGCACACAUGAGCCUAUGUUCACAUGGGCCACCUAAUCCUGCACGAACACCCCUGAAUACAAUUCAUGUCUUAGACCGCGAUGCAUGACAGCUUUCAUAAGAGCAACCUGUUUUCACAUUCAUUCAGAAGUGAAUGUUUUCAUAUGAGAUUUGAAAAACAUUAGUUUAGACAUUUUCAGGUUAUUAGAGUGAAAAAAAAAACUAUCAGAGACUUUUACAAAACCAUUAUUUCAAAAAUAGCUAAGCAUCAGACUUCAUAACCUUAUUUUAGAAAUUCUAUUUGCAUAAUUCUUGGUAAGAUACAAUAUAAAUUCACUCUAACGCUGGGGAGUGUCUUACAAAGAGGCCAUCUAACUUGGCAACGUUCAGUCUCUGAGUGAGAGCUGUAACUCGUGCUGACUGCUGCACACAUAUGUGACGAUGAGGACACCGAAGCCCUGGGCACAGUUUUGCAAGGGCUGGCUUAGUUUUAACUUCAUGAGUUUAUUAAGGUAAUAUACUCCAUUUUUGUAUGCAUAUAUCCCCCAAAUAAUGCUUCAUUUAUCUAGAACCCU
rnacentral:lncRNA from 1 species